rnacentral:rRNA from 2 species
AGUGCUUGCAGCUCAGCGUGUCAAAGUGCGAGUGGCGAACGGGUGAGUAACACGUGGGCAAUCUGCCCGAAAGUGGGGGAUAACACUUGGAAACAGGUGCUAAUACCGCAUCAACCGGCUGACCGCAUGGUCGGCCGGGCAAAGACGGCGUCAGCUGUCGCUUUUGGAUGAGCCCGCGGCGUAUUAACUAGUUGGUAAGGUAACGGCUUACCAAGGUGAUGAUACGUAGCCGAACUGAGAGGUUGAUCGGCCACAUUGGGACUGAGACACGGCCCAAACUCCUACGGGAGGCAGCAGUAGGGAAUCUUCCACAAUGGACGCAAGUCUGAUGGAGCAACGCCGCGUGUAUGAAGAAGGUCUUCGGAUCGUAAAAUACUGUUGUCAGAGAAGAACACGUGAUAGAGUAACUGCUAUCACGCUGACGGUAUCUGACCAGCAAGUCACGGCUAACUACGUGCCAGCAGCCGCGGUAAUACGUAGGUGGCAAGCGUUGUCCGGAUUUAUUGGGCGUAAAGGGAACGCAGGCGGUCUUUUAAGUCUGAUGUGAAAGCCUUCGGCUUAACCGGAGAAGUGCAUUGGAAACUGGAAGACUUGAGUGCAGAAGAGGAGAGUGGAACUCCAUGUGUAGCGGUGAAAUGCGUAGAUAUAUGGAAGAACACCAGUGGCGAAAGCGGCUCUCUGGUCUGUAACUGACGCUGAGGUUCGAAAGCGUGGGGAGCGAACAGGAUUAGAUA